GGCGGGCCCCUGCGCAUUGUGGCAUGGUGAAUCUGGUCAGGUCGGGAACGAAGCAGCCACAGCCGUUUCCCACAAGUGCCGCAGACAAGGCUCGCCUCU
rnacentral:SRP_RNA from 1 species